rnacentral:lncRNA from 1 species
UCUGUGUGACUGUGUCCUCAUCCCUAAGGUCCCCUGUGUGACCGUGUCCUCGUCCCCGAGGUCCCCUCUGUGACCGUGUCCUCAUCCCCGAGGUCCCCUGUGUGACCGUGUCCUCAUCCCCGAGGUCCC